rnacentral:tRNA from 1 species
GUGGGUGUGGCGGAAUUGGCAGACGCGCCGGAUUUAGGUUCCGGUAUCGCGAGAUGUGCAGGUUCAAGUCCUGUCACCCACACCA